rnacentral:misc_RNA from 1 species
UCUCCGUUGGUGAACCAGCGGAGGGAUCAUUACAGGAUCGAAAGACUCCUAUAACCCCUGUGAACUUACUACAAAUACGUUGCUUCGGCGGGUGCCCCGGGUCUCCCGGGGCGUUCAGCCCGCCGGCAGCCUUCAAAUUCUGUUUCUUUGCGUUGGCAUCUCGAGUAUACAAAAAUAAGUUUAAACUUUCAACAACGGAUCUCUUGGUUCUG